AGCAAUACCCCGCUGAUACGGGAGUGGAUCCGAAACCUAAUGUAAGGUUAACUUAGACUCUCCACCCCCUACUCCUACUCAAUACGUCCCCGUCGUACAGAACGGUAACAUGUCUCUCAAUUAUCCAAGCUUGAGUAUACGAGGAUACCCAAUCCCUUUGGCGGAUGGGUUGCAUGGCUAAAUUGAGGGGG
rnacentral:ribozyme from 1 species